ACGAAAAGUACUAUCAAUUAAAUAAAAUAGGUGAAACAAAAAGAAUAAGCGAAGAAGAAGCAAAUAGCGACUUCACGCUAAUUCCAAGUACCAACACAAAACAAAUUCAAUGUUUGGUGAAGCAACUUGCUUAGUGGCGGACGGGUGAGUAACGCGUGAACAAUCUGCCCCGUACAAAGGGAUAGCCUCGGGAAACCGGGAUUAAAACCAUAUAACACGUUAACUGCCGCAUGGUAGUGAAGUCAAAUCGAUUAAGAGGUAUGGGAUGAGUUCGCGUCUGAUUAGCUAGUUGGUGAGUAAGGGCUCACCAAGGCGACGAUCAGUAGCCGGCCUGAGAGGGUGAACGGCCACACUGGAACUGAGACACGGUCCAGACUCCUACGGGAGGCAGCAGUGGGGAAUAUUGCACAAUGGAGGGAACUCUGAUGCAGCGACGCCGCGUGAGUGAAGAAGGUCUUCGGAUCGUAAAACUCUGUCCUUGGUGAAGAAAAAGGACGGUAGCCAAGGAGGAAGCCCCGGCUAACUACGUG
rnacentral:rRNA from 1 species